AGAACUAACAAAUUUGGGACAAAAUGUGUCCAUAAACUGUGAUCUUGAAGAAAAAGAGAUUUAUUGGAUGCUGCUACAACUACCAAAUCGUCCAGUUAUGAUAUUGCGGUUGUUUUCAACUUCGCCAACUCCUUUUUACUACGAUGCAAGUUUCAAAGCCAAAUAUUCAGUGCAACCUAAACAUCAUCUAUUUAUAAACAAUGUCACCCUUGAUGAGUUAGGCAUUUAUUACUGCAUGACCACAGAGGCACCUCCAAGAUUCAGCAACGGCACCAGACUUCACAUCACUGAACCAACUAAAUUACCUGAGUGCCAGAAUCACACUGUGGUGAAGUUUGUUGAGCAGAAUCAUACAGUGGUGAAUUUUACCGACCAAAUUCAGAGACCAUGGAUGAUUAUUGUUAUCUUAUCUGGUCUGAUACAUGGUGUUCUGGUCUUUGUGGUCAUUGGUGUGUGUUGCUACUCUGGAGAAAAAUUAAAAAGACAAGAAGAAGAUUUAGAGGAGACUCAGUUCAUGCCUCUGGAAAAACUUCAAGAGACAAAGAUGAUGGUAAAUAAUGCAAAACCAUCUCUUUUUGGUUUACAUUGAUUUAAUUAUUCAUUACUUUAAAGAUUACUUU
ensembl:lncRNA